rnacentral:rRNA from 1 species
UCGAGCGGAAACGGCAACAUUGACUCUUCGGAUGAUUUGUUGGACGUCGAGCGGCGGACGGGUGAGUAAUGCUUAGGAAUUUGCCUAGUCGAGGGGGAUAACUAUUGGAAACGAUAGCUAAUACCGCAUACGCCCUACGGGGGAAAGAGGGGGACCUUCGGGCCUCUUGCGAUUGGAUAAGCCUAAGUGAGAUUAGCUAGUUGGUGAGGUAAGAGCUCACCAAGGCGACGAUCUCUAGCUGGUCUGAGAGGAUGAUCAGCCACACUGGGACUGAGACACGGCCCAGACUCCUACGGGAGGCAGCAGUGGGGAAUAUUGCACAAUGGGGGGAACCCUGAUGCAGCCAUGCCGCGUGUGUGAAGAAGGCCUUCGGGUUGU